rnacentral:tRNA from 1 species
UGAGACGUGGCAGAGUGGCUGAUUGCGGGUGCCGCCUUCCCUAGCGAAAGUUAUAGAAGGAGCACUACGGAGCAAAAGCUCCGCGCAGGUUCGAAUCCUGUCGUCUCGC